rnacentral:lncRNA from 1 species
AGCGGAGCUGGUGGGCUGGGAGGCUCUAUGAGGAGGAGCAGUGCCUGUGUGAUGAGAUGGCUUGGGCAAAGAAGCAGGGCCAUGAGGAGUGUGGGCGAUGGGCUGGAUUGAGAAGGCAUGGGCAGAGGUGCUGGGUGUGAGCAAGGUGAAUGAAGCUGUUGCUGACCUGGGAAGAAGGCGGGUUGUCCAGAGCUCAAGUGCAGCACCUGGUUGCUGUUGGCAAUGCAGAAAUAGAUCCCCUGGUCCCGUGCCCUGAAGUUCUUCACCACCAGCCGAUAGGAGCUGCCUUGCUUUGACCCCUCAAAUUGUGAAGAUUCUCCCUUGUUCCCUUGGAAAGUGGUUGAGGAAAACUUGGAAAUGUAGACAAUGAAGUGAAGGUUGCCAUCCUUAUCCAGGCGGAUCCAGGAGACCCCAUUGUCACUGUUGUUAUUCAGGCACUCCAGCUCCAGCCGCUGUCCCUCUUUGGGGAGCUUCAUACUCCUGUUGAGGAACCUGACUGCCAUCGCG